GACGAACGCUGGCGGCGUGCCUAAUACAUGCAAGUAGAACGCUGAAGGAGGAGCUUGCUUCUCUGGAUGAGUUGCGAACGGGUGAGUAACGCGUAGGUAACCUGCCUGGUAGCGGGGGAUAACUAUUGGAAACGAUAGCUAAUACCGCAUAAGAGUAGAUGUUGCAUGACAUUUGCUUAAAAGGUGCAAUUGCAUCACUACCAGAUGGACCUGCGUUGUAUUAGCUAGUUGGUGAGGUAACGGCUCACCAAGGCAACGAUACAUAGCCGACCUGAGAGGGUGAUCGGCCACACUGGGACUGAGACACGGCCCAGACUCCUACGGGAGGCAGCAGUAGGGAAUCUUCGGCAAUGGACGGAAGUCUGACCGAGCAACGCCGCGUGAGUGAAGAAGGUUUUUCGGAUCGUAAAAGCUCUG
rnacentral:rRNA from 1 species